rnacentral:rRNA from 1 species
UACGAAGGGGGCUAGCGUUGUUCGGAAUUACUGGGCGUAAAGCGUGCGCAGGCGGCUUCUCAAGUCAGGGGUGAAAGCCCAGAGCUCAACUCUGGAAUUGCCUUUGAGACUGAGUGGCUUGAGUACGAGAGAGGUGAGUGGAAUUCCCAGUGUAGCAGUGAAAUGCGUAGAGAUCGGGAGGAACACCAGUGGCGAAGGCGGCCUUCUGGACCAAUACUGACGCUCAUGCACGAAAGCGUGGGGAGCAAACAGG